UACGGGAGGCAGCAGUGGGGAAUAUUGCACAAUGGGCGCAAGCCUGAUGCAGCCAUGCCGCGUGUAUGAAAAAGGCCUUCGGGUUGUAAAGUACUUUCAGUCGUGAGGAAGGUGUUAAGGUUAAUAACCUUAGCAAUUGACGUUAGCGACAGAAGAAGCACCGGCUAACUCCGUGCCAGCAGCCGCGGUAAUACGGAGGGUGCGAGCGUUAAUCGGAAUUACUGGGCGUAAAGGGCACGCAGGCGGUUAAUUAAGUUGGAUGUGAAAUCCCCGGGCUUAACCUGGGAAUGGCAUUCAAGACUGGUUAGCUAGAGUCUUGUAGAGGGGGUAGAAUUCCAUGUGUAGCGGUGAAAUGCGUAGAGAUGUGGAGGAAUACCGGUGGCGAAGGCGGCCCCUGGACAAAGACUGACGCUCAUGUGCGAAAGCGUGGGGAGCAAAC
rnacentral:rRNA from 1 species